GGGUUGUGAGGUUAAGCGACUAAGCGUACACGGUGGAUGCCCUGGCAGUCAGAGGCGAUGAAGGACGUGCUAAUCUGCGAAAAGCGUCGGUAAGGUGAUAUGAACCGUUAUAACCGGCGAUGUCCGAAUGGGGAAACCCAGUGCAAUUCGUUGCACUAUCGUUAACUGAAUACAUAGGUUAACGAGGCGAACCGGGGGAACUGAAACAUCUAAGUACCCCGAGGAAAAGAAAUCAACCGAGAUUCCCCCAGUAGCGGCGAGCGAACGGGGAGCAGCCCAGAGUCUGAAUCAGCUUGUGUGUUAGUGGAACGGUCUGGAAAGUCCGACGGUACAGGGUGAUAGUCCCGUACACCAAAAUGCACAGGCUGUGAACUCGAAGAGUAGGGCGGGACACGUGGUAUCCUGUCUGAAUAUGGGGGGACCAUCCUCCAAGGCUAAAUACUCCUGACUGACCGAUAGUGAACCAGUACCGUGAGGGAAAGGCGAAAAGAACCCCGGCGAGGGGAGUGAAAAAGAACCUGAAACCGUGUACGUACAAGCAGUGGGAGCACCUUCGGGUGUGACUGCGUACCUUUUGUAUAAUGGGUCAGCGACUUAUAUUCUGUAGCAAGGUUA
rnacentral:rRNA from 2 species